rnacentral:tRNA from 1 species
UAUUUAAUAGUUUAAAAAAAACAAUAAAUUGCAAAUUUAUUAUUGUUAAUAUAAUUAACUUAAAUAU